GACGAACGCUGGCGGCGUGCUUAACACAUGCAAGUCGAACGGAAAGGCCCUGCUUUUGUGGGGUGCUCGAGUGGCGAACGGGUGAGUAACACGUGAGUAACCUGCCCUUGACUUUGGGAUAACUUCAGGAAACUGGGGCUAAUACCGGAUAGGAGCUCCUGCUGCAUGGUGGGGGUUGGAAAGUUUCGGCGGUUGGGGAUGGACUCGCGGCUUAUCAGCUUGUUGGUGGGGUAGUGGCUUACCAAGGCUUUGACGGGUAGCCGGCCUGAGAGGGUGACCGGCCACAUUGGGACUGAGAUACGGCCCAGACUCCUACGGGAGGCAGCAGGGGGGAAUAUUGCACAAUGGGCGGAAGCCUGAUGCAGCAACGCCGCGUGCGGGAUGACGGCCUUCGGGUUGUAAACCGCUUUCGCUUGUGACGAAGCGUGAGUGACGGUAAUGGGUAAAGAAGCACCGGCUAACUACGUG
rnacentral:rRNA from 1 species